GAUGAAGAACGUAGCGAAAUGCGAUAAGUAAUGUGAAUUGCAGAAUUCAGUGAAUCAUCGAAUCUUUGAACGCACCUUGCGCCCUUUGGCUAUUCCGAAGGGCAUGCCUGUUUGAGUGUCAUGAACACCUCAACUCUCAUGGCUUGCCAUGAUGAGCUUGGACUUUUGGGGGUCUUGCUGGCCUGUGGUCAGCUCCUCUCAAAUGAAUUAGCCUGCCAGUGUUUGGUGGCAUCACAGGUGUGAUAACUAUCUACGCUUGUGGUUUUCCACCAGGUAACCUUCAGUGAUGAAGGUUCGCUGGGGCUCAUAAACGUCUCUCCUCAGUGAGGACAGCUCUUUGAACGUUUGAUCUCAAAUCAGGUAGGACUACCCGCUGAACUUAAGCAUAUCAAUAAGCGGAGGA
rnacentral:misc_RNA from 1 species